CUACGGGCUGCUCCAGUGGGGAAUAUUGGACAAUGGACCAAAAGUCUGAUCCAGCAAUUCUGUGUGCACGAUGAAGGUUUUCGGAUCGUAAAGUGCUUUCAACAGGGAAGAAGUUCUGACGGUACCUGUAGAAGAAGUGACGGCUAAAUACGUGCCAGCAGCCGCGGUAAUACGUAUGUCACAAGCGUUAUCCGGAAUUAUUGGGCAUAAAGGGCAUCUAGGCGGCUUGGUAAGUCUGAUGUAAAAAUGCGGGGCUCAACCCCGUAUUGCGUUGGAUACUGCUAGGCUAGAGUAUUGGAGAGGUAGGCGGAACUACAUGUGUAGAGGUGAAAUUCGUAGAUAUAUGUAGGAAUGCCGAUGACGAAGGUAGCUUACUGGACAAUUACUGACGCUGAAGUGCGAAAGCUAGGGGAGCAAACAGGAUUAGAUACCCGCGUAGUC
rnacentral:rRNA from 1 species